rnacentral:misc_RNA from 1 species
UACGGAGGGUGCAAGCGUUAUCCGGAAUCACUGGGCGUAAAGGGCGUGUAGGUGGUCUUUCAAGUCCGAUGUCAAAUCCCGGGGCUCAACCCCGGCUCGGCGUUGGAUACUGAUUGGCUUGACGACUGGAGAGGUGAGUGGAAUUACCAGUGUAGCGGUGGAAUGCGUAGAUACUGGUAGGAACACCCAUUGCGAAGGCAGCUCACUGGACAGUCCGUGACACUGAGACGCGAAAGUGUGGGGAGCAAACCGG